GAUGAACGCUGGCGGCGUGCCUAAUACAUGCAAGUCGAGCGAACGGACGAGAAGCUUGCUUCUCUGAUGUUAGCGGCGGACGGGUGAGUAACACGUGGAUAACCUACCUAUAAGACUGGGAUAACUUCGGGAAACCGGAGCUAAUACCGGAUAAUAUUUUGAACUGCAUGGUUCAAAAGUGAAAGACGGUCUUGCUGUCACUUAUAGAUGGAUCCGCGCUGCAUUAGCUAGUUGGUAAGGUAACGGCUUACCAAGGCAACGAUGCAUAGCCGACCUGAGAGGGUGAUCGGCCACACUGGAACUGAGACACGGCCCAGACUCCUACGGGAGGCAGCAGUAGGGAAUCUUCCGCAAUGGGCGAAAGCCUGACGGAGCAACGCCGCGUGAGUGAUGAAGGUCUUCGGAUCGUAAAACUCUGUUAUUAGGGAAGAACAUAUGUGUAAGUAACUGUGCACAUCUUGACGGUACCUAAUCAGAAAGCCACGGCUAACUACGUG
rnacentral:rRNA from 1 species